rnacentral:rRNA from 1 species
GAUGAACGCUGGCGGCGUGCCUAAUACAUGCAAGUCGAGCGAACAGACGAGGAGCUUGCUCCUCUGACGUUAGCGGCGGACGGGUGAGUAACACGUGGAUAACCUACCUAUAAGAUUGGGAUAACUUCGGGAAACCGGAGCUAAUACCGGAUAAUAUAUUGAACCGCAUGGUUCAAUAGUGAAAGACGGUUUUGCUGUCACUUAUAGAUGGAUCCGCGCCGCAUUAGCUAGUUGGUAAGGUAACGGCUUACCAAGGCGACGAUGCGUAGCCGACCUGAGAGGGGGAUCGGCCACACUGGAACUGAGACACGGUCCAGACUCCUACGGGAGGCAGCAGUAGGGAAUCUUCCGCAAUGGGCGAAAGCCUGACGGAGCAACGCCGCGUGAGUGAUGAAGGUCUUCGGAUCGUAAAACUCUGUUAUUAGGGAAGAACAAAUGUGUAAGUAACUAUGCACGUCUUGACGGUACCUAAUCAGAAAGCCACGGCUAACUACGUG